rnacentral:rRNA from 1 species
AGAAUCAACGCUGGCGGCGUGCCUAACACAUGCAAGUCGAACGCGAAAGCCCCGAAAGGGGCGAGUAGAGUGGCAAACGGGUGAGUAACACGUGGGUGACCUGCCUUCGAGCGGGGGAUACGCCCGAAAGGGACGCUAAUACCGCAUAGCAUCCUGCCUUUGAAGAGGUGGAGAUCAAAGCUGGGGAUCGCAAGACCCGGCACUUGAAGAGGGGCCCGCGUCUGAUUAGCUAGUUGGUGGGGUAACGCCUACCAAGGCAAGAUCA